GAUGAACGCUGGCGGCGUGCCUAAUACAUGCAAGUCGAACGCUUCACCUCGGUGAAGAGUGGCGAACGGGUGAGUAAUACAUAAGUAACCUGGCAUCUACAGGGGGAUAACUGAUGGAAACGUUAGCUAAGACCGCAUAGGUGUAGAGAUCGUAUGAACUCUAUAUGAAAAGUGCUACGGGACUGGUAGAUGAUGGACUUAUGGCGCAUUAGCUGGUUGGUAGGGUAACGGCCUACCAAGGCGACGAUGCGUAGCCGACCUGAGAGGGUGACCGGCCACACUGGGACUGAGACACGGCCCAGACUCCUACGGGAGGCAGCAGUAGGGAAUUUUCGGCAAUGGGGGAAACCCUGACCGAGCAACGCCGCGUGAAGGAAGAAGUAAUUCGUUAUGUAAACUUCUGUCAUAGAGGAAGAACGGUGGAUAUAGGGAAUGAUAUCCAAGUGACGGUACUCUAUAAGAAAGCCACGGCUAACUACGUGCCAGCCGCCGCUGUAA
rnacentral:rRNA from 1 species